rnacentral:misc_RNA from 1 species
UCCGAGUUGACCCCGGCAGUCUUCGAUGAGUCCCCGCCAUAACGCGCUGGCAACAUCGAACGAGGGUUGCGCUCGUUGCGGGACUUAACCCAACAUCUCACGACACGAGCUGACGACAGCCAUGCACCACCUGUGACCGCCCCCGAAGGACCCGACAUCUCUGCCGGUUUUGCGGCCAUGUCAAACCCAGGUAAGGUUCUUCGCGUUGCAUCGAAUUAAUCCACAUGCUCCGCUGCUUGUGCGGGCCCCCGUCAAUUCCUUUGAGUUUCAGUCUUGCGACCGUACUUCCCAGGCGGCGAACUUAACGCGUUAGCUUCGAAACUGAGGGCCAAGUUGCCCCCAACUUCCAGUUCGCAUCGUUUAGGGCGUGGGCUAC